CUGACCCUGAGAGACGAAAGCGUGGGGAGCAAAACGGAUUAGAUACCCGUGUAGUCCACGCCCUGAACGAUGAAUGCUAAAUGUUCGGGGAUUCGACCCCCUGGGUGUCACAGCGAACGCGUUAAGCAUUCCGCCUGGGAAGUACGGCCGCAAGGCUAAAACUCAAAGGAAUAGACGGGGAUCCGCACAAGCGGUGGAGCGUCUGGUUUAAUUCGACAGUAAGCGUGGUACCUCACCAGGGUUUGACAUCCCUUGACAGCCUUGGAAACAAGGUUUCCUUCGGGCAAGGUGACAGGUGCUGCAUGGUCGUCGUCAGUUCGUGCCGUGAGGUGUUCCGUUAAGUCGGGAAACGAACGAAACCCCUAUUGCAUGUUACAAUUUCUCAUGCAAGACUGCCCGGAUAUACUGGGAGGAAGGUGGGGAUGACGUCAGAUCUGCAUGGUCCUUAUACCCUGGGCGACACAGGCGCUACAAUGGCAGAGACAAAGGGUUGCAAAACCGCAAGGUGAAGCUAAUCCCAAAAACUUUGUCUAAGUUCGGAUUGAAGGCUGCAAUUCGCCUUCAUGAAGCUGGAAUCGCUAGUAAUCGUGAAUCAGCCACGUCACGGUGUAUAUGUUCCCGGAUCUUGUACUCACCGCCCGUCACACCAAGAGACUUGGUAGCUCCCGAAGCGUCCCGU
rnacentral:rRNA from 1 species